rnacentral:rRNA from 1 species
CCUAACACAUGCAAGUCGAACGGUAACAGGGAGAAGCUUGCUUCUUUGCUGACGAGUGGCGGACGGGUGAGUAAUGUCUGGGAAACUGCCUGAUGGAGGGGGAUAACUACUGGAAACGGUAGCUAAUACCGCAUAACGUCGCAAGACCAAAGAGGGGGACCUUCGGGCCUCUUGCCAUCGGACGUGCCCAGAUGGGAUUAGCUAGUAGGUGGGGUAACGGCUCACCUAGGCGACGAUCCCUAGCUGGUCUGAGAGGAUGACCAGCCACACUGGAACUGAGACACGGUCCAGACUCCUACGGGAGGCAGCAGUGGGGAAUAUUGCACAAUGGGCGCAAGCCUGAUGCAGCCAUGCCGCGUGUAUGAAGAAGGCCUUCGGGUUGUAAAGAC